ACGUGAGACGAGUAGCGAGACGUAACUUUCAGAAUUAUUUACUUUUUGCUUGGGAGUGUGGUUAUGAUUGUGGCUCAGCGUUAUUUUUUGUCACCAACGCCAUACGAACUACGCGCGUGAUUCAAGUCAAACAAUUUCAUCCCAGGCUUCUUUGAAAGGGCAAUAUCCAAAACUUAUCUGAAACACAUCACGUGAGAUAGGCAACGCAAAUGGACCAACAAAAGAGCGCAACGAAGA